rnacentral:rRNA from 1 species
UACGAAGGGGGCUAGCGUUGUUCGGAAUUACUGGGCGUAAAGCGUGCGCAGGCGGUUCGUUGUGUCCGUCGUGAAAGCCCCGGGCUUAACCUGGGAACUGCGAUGGAAACUAGCGAGCUGGAGUGUGGCAGAGGGGGGUGGAAUUCCGCGUGUAGCAGUGAAAUGCGUAGAGAUGCGGAGGAACACCGAUGGCGAAGGCAGCCCCCUGGGCUAACACUGACGCUCAGGCACGAAAGCGUGGGGAGCAAACAGG